CGACGAGUGGCGGACGGGUGAGUAAUACAUAGGAAUCUGCCUUAUAGUGGGGGACAACCUGGGGAAACCCAGGCUAAUACCGCAUACGCCCUUCGGAGGAAAGGUGGCCUCUUCAUGAAAGCUACCGUAUAGGGAUGAGCCUGCGUACCAUUAGCUAGUAGGCGGGGUAACGGCCCACCUAGGCAACGAUGGUUAGCGGGUCUGAGAGGAUGAUCCGCCACACUGGAACUGGAACACGGACCAG
rnacentral:rRNA from 1 species